CAAUCUGACCGAGGUAAUAGAAAGUUACAAAAGUUAAGAAAAGGACAGGGUAAGUCAGUAAGAAAGUUAGCGUAAGUCGGUAAAAAAGUGCAGAGGAAUAGAAACAAAAAAAGGAUAGAACAAAGCCUCAGCAGACUCAGAAGAGAUAGGUUAGCAGUGAAGAGAGGUAAAAACAGAGAUAAAAGAAAUUAGAGAGGUCUGAGAUAAGAGAGAUACUCUAAAUGAGAGAUAUUUAAAAGAAGAACCAGUAAAAUGAGGCUGACAAAGACAGAGACCAGAAUCAGAAUCAGAGAUGUGCUGUGAGACAGAAAGAUAAACCAGGGUAGAGGAAAACUAUGAGAGAAGACAAGUGACAGAAUAUAGAUGUGAUAAUUAGAUAACAUCCAAAGAAAGCAAAGACAAAGAGGAGGAACAAAAAGAUAUAUAUAUAUAGAGAGAAAACAUUAUAUGAGAUCUCCAUUACAGUUAAGAAACAGGAGCAAAGAGAGGUAAAUGACAAAGACUAGAACCUAGUAAAGUGGCACAUGCCACUUUAGAAAUGAUCUGUAAAAAAUAAGAAGCCAGAAAAUUUAAAAAAGAUUUAAAAAAUGAAAUGCUGGCCACAAAAGUCAGGGAAACUAGACAUUUAGUACCUGGCAAC
rnacentral:lncRNA from 1 species